GCCAAAGGCAACCCCAGACCCAACUGGGUAAACAGAAUACACAAUAGGAAACUAAAGUACAGGUUCAAUACUGAACCAUAGAGCAAAUAAGCCAGAUUCUGGGCUAAGAAAGCAUCCUGGUGGAUUCGUUCUGUAUCUUGACCAAGGCUUCCAGAGAGAGUUGCCUGCAGGACCUCAGCAUCUGUUGCCCUGUGCCACUUCAGAUUUCUGCUCUCCCCAUUCUGGUGCAGCAUUCCUUGACCACCCCAGCUACAAUUCAAGCCAGCCUCAAUCCAGCUUGUGUCACUACUUUGGAAGGGAAAUCAGUCUGCAUUGUGCUUUUACACAUAAUCUUCUUGUUAUGACACCUGAGGAGCAAGAAGUGGAGAAUUCUUAAGCAAGGAGGUGGUCUUUGUUCUGCAUUUGGAAGGAGCUAAGCUUACUGCAGGUGUAAUGAAGGCAAGUGGAUGUCGGAAAGCGGUACAAACUUGUGUAAAAGUACGGAAGGAAAAGUGACAACUUGGUGUGCCUGGAGUGAAAGGUUUCUUUUUUGGAGAGAUUUACACCUCGCUAUCUUCUCUGGCUGGCUCAACCUGAAGGAUCCCAAUUUUGAAAGAAAAAGCAUGUGAUCAGCAUGGGAGUUUCGACCUGCUCCGUUUCCGACCUGGGCCAGUUCACCCCUCCUUAGGCAACCUGGUGGUCCCCGCUCCCAGGAGGUCACCAUAUUGAUGCCAAACUUAGUGCGGACACCCGAUACGCAUAGCACACUACAGCCCAGAACUCCUGGACUCAAGCGAUCCUCCAGCCUCAGCCUCCUGAGUAGCUGGGACUACAGGCACAAAGACCUAUUUAUGACAAACCCACAGCCAAUAUCACACUGAAUGGGCAAAAACUGGAAGCAUUCCCUUUGAAAACUGGCACAAGACAGGGAUGCCCUCUCUUACCACUCCUAUUCAACAUGGUGUUGGAAGUUCUGGUCAGGGCAAUCAGGCAGGAGAAAGAAAUAAAGGGUAUUCAAUUAGGAAAAGAGGAAGUCAAAUUGUCCCUGUUUGCAGAUGACAUGAUUGUAUAUUUAGAAAACCCCAUCGUCUCAGCCCAAAAUCUCCUUAAGCUGACAAGCGACUUCAGCAAAGUCUCAGGAUACAAAAUCAAUGUGCAAAAAUCACAAGCAUUCUUAUACACCAAUAACAGACAGAGAGCCAAAUCAUGAGUGAACUCCCAUUCACAAUUGCUUCAAAGAGAAUAAAAUACCUAGGAAUCCAACUUACAAAAGAGAACUACAAACCACUGCUCAACGAAAUAAAAGAGGACACAAACAAAUGGAAGAACAUUCCAUGCUCAUGGAUAGGAGAAUCAAUAUUGUGAAAAUGGCCUUACUGCCCAAGGUAAUUUAUAGAUUCAAUGCAUCCCCAUCAAGCUACCAAUGACUUUCUUCACAGAAUUGGAAAAAACUACUUUAAAGUUCAUAUGGAACCAAAAAAGAGCCCACAUUGCCAAGUCAAUCCUAAGCCAAAAGAACAAAGCUGGAGGCAUCACGCUACCUGACUUCAAACUAUGCUACAAGGCUAUAGUCACCAAAACAGCAUGGUACUGGUACCAAAACAGAGAUAGAGACCAAUGGAACAGAACAGAGCCCUCAGAAGUAAUGCCACACAUCUACAACCAUCUGAUCUUUGACAAACCUGACAAAAACAAGAAAUAGGGAAAGGAUUCCCUAUUUAACAAAUGGUGCUGGGAAAACUGGCUAACCAUAUGUAGAAAGCCGAAACUGGAUCCCUUCCUUACACCUUAUACCAAAAUUAAUUCGAGAUGGAUUAAAGACUUAAAUUUUAGACCUAAAACCAUAAAAAUCCUAGAAGAAAACCUAGGCAAUACCAUUCAGGA
rnacentral:lncRNA from 10 species